GUUUGGAACAGCCUUCGCGUCAUGAGUGUCUAUGAUGCCUAGAAAUGCUUCCUACGUUGUUAUCUCUAGAUUUUGGAACAGAGCCACUCUCUCUUCUCUUCAAUUCAAGGUGCUUCAUUACCAUGAUGUCCUCUCCUAGCCACCCCCUUCUCUCUCUUAUUGACGCUUGCUGUUUAAUGGCUCAGAGUGGGCAGUGCAUUUUAAGCUCUGAUUAAUGGAGCAGUGAUGAUAGGCUAACACCUAGAUGUAGCAGGUAUGGCUUCCAGUGCUGAAUCAGUUUAUGCUGUUCUGUUGGGAGUCUCUGUAAUAGCAGCGGUUGUGAUUGUACUGCUAAUUAUGUUAGUGGUUCUCCGCUUCAUGGCACAUCAGAAAGGCACAUAUUACACCCACGAGGAGAGCUUGGCAUUUAAGAGCGACCCUGAGGUGCAGGAGGUCACCGAAGAUCCGGAAGAUCCAGAAGAAGAGGAGCCUUAGUAUCUUCUGGCAGGAAGCCUUUUGGGAAGUUUCCUGUGUGAAAUGUAUCACUGCGAGCGACAGAAGGAUCUGUCGUGGUUCCUCUUCCUUUUUAUUCUCCAAUCACAUAUGCCUUUUCCAACAGAUGUCCUUUUUUUGACAACUUCACACUCAACCAGUCCAAAACUAAAAUAGAUUUUCAUGUGGAGAAACACUUAUUAUGUGUGCUAAUUAUUUCACAUUGUUUGUUACAGAGUACUUAAAUUAUGUUAAAAUGUGAGUUUUUUAUACUGUAAACUUUUAGCUUCAUUAAUUAACAUAUUAAUGUCUCUAUGUAGAAUCUUUUAUAUCAAUAUACUAUUAAGUUAAUUGCAAAUAUUAAGUGUUUUUUUUUAUAUAAAUUAUUUAAUUUAUGCCAACUUUAUUUACUGGUUGACAUGUACCUGUAUCUCUUUGUAGAAUCUCCAAUGCAAAGAUUAAAACAUGAAUCAAACACUUCCACGUGACUCAUUAUCCAGGCGGUUGUCAAAAGUUACUCUGAAAGUUGUCAUCAUGUAUUCCAACUGUUUUGAAACAUCUGUAGUAAUUCAAAAAAAAUGCACAGGUGAAAGAAGAGUGAAAGAGCCUUUGGUAACUGUCCAUAUUUCGCUCAAGAAAAUUCUGUCAUUUUUUUUUUACUCACCCUCAUGUCAUUCAAAACCCUCUUUUUUUCUGUGGAACACAACAUUAGACGUUAAACAGAAUGUUCAUUCUUCUUGGUUCCAUAUAGCAUAUAUAAAGUUCUAAAAAUGGAGUAAUGGUUGAUUAAAAUUCAGCUUUGUAUCACAGGAAUACAUUACAUUUUAAAAUAUAUUCCAAUACAAAACAGUCAUUUUAAAUUUUACUAAUAUUUCACAAAAUUACGGAUUUUAGUGUAUUUUUAAUUAAAUAAAUAAAGCCUUGGUGAGCAUAAGACAUGAGACUUUUAAAAAUCUUAUCAACCUCAAUCGUUUGAACAGUGGUGUUUUUGCUGUUGUUGUUUUUUUCAUCAUAUGAACCCAAGAACAACUUUUGCAUUAUCUUUGUGGUUUGUUUGUUUAUCUAUUUAAGCUUUAUUUUAAGCCACAGUAUGUUUUGCUUUAGUUAUGAAUAAAAUGAGUGAUACAGCAAAUGGUAGAAAGACAUUUAAAUGAAUCCAUGAAAAAUGUGCAUGUGAAUGAAUACAAGUAGAUACAUAUUAACAUUCUUGUAAUAUUUAUUGUAGAAAUCCUUGACUAACCAUGCCGCUGAUGUCAGUGUGGUUCAAAUAAAGCUAAAAAUGCUUUAAGC
ensembl:lncRNA